ACGUAGGGUGCAAGCGUUGUCCGGAAUUACUGGGUGUAAAGGGAGCGCAGGCGGACCGGCAAGUUGGAAGUGAAAACUAUGGGCUCAACCCAUAAAUUGCUUUCAAAACUGCUGGCCUUGAGUAGUGCAGAGGUGGGUGGAAUUCCCGGUGUAGCGGUGGAAUGCGUAGAUAUCGGGAGGAACACCAGUGGCGAAGGCGACCUACUGGGCACCAACUGACGCUGAGGCUCGAAAGCAUGGGUAGCAAACAG
rnacentral:rRNA from 1 species